GACAAUUAGACAAGACGAAUCGCGGGAGAUAUAACAUCUCAUCUCAAUGAGCUAAAUCUCAAGCUACAGGGGAAGGACAGCACAGUGUGUGAGCUGAUGUCAGCAGUACGGGCCUUCCAGAGGAAGCUGGAGAAUUUCAAAGUUGACCCACAGGAGAGAAUGGAACACUUCCCCAAACUUCUGGAACAGACCAAAGGAAAAGGAGAUCACAUUCAGUGUCAUGUGGAAUUCCUGGAGAAGCUGAUUGCAAAUUUCAAGACUCGUUUUGAUGACUUUACAUUAGGAAAACAAGUCCUACU